AACGUUACGUUUAGUCAACAACAUCAGUCGAGUGCUUGAAAUAACUUUUUGUGAGCAGAUGCGCGUUUUUACCACAGAACGGGGUAACGUUUGACAAUAUAUUUAAUAUGGUAAUAAUGGCGAUUAACAUUGGACUAUAAUUAUACUUUAUUAUUAUGAGUAUAGACCGUUUCAUCAGACGCACGGGUGUCGCGGGUACGCGUCUGGCGUUUACUUCCGGUUUAAUGGUCUGACUAGUGCCUUAGAUGAAUUCUGGAACAAAUUACCUCGUCAAAAAUAACAAAUGUUUUGGUUUCCUAAAGGCAGGGGGAGACGGCGAUCAUGACCAUGUGAAGGGAGGUUUGAUAGCCGAUUUGUAGUUUGUAUACAUUAUAGGACACAUGUUACUUAGCAACGUUAGCUCAGUGUAGUUUUUAUACGCUUUAGCUAUGAAAUAAGAACUGAGGUAAUUUACCUGUUGUUUAUUUUGCUUGGUAUCAGAAAUUAACUACUCUAAAAAGACUUUGUUGUUAUUUAUUCUUAGCGGAGUUUACCGGAAGUUGUUUAUAAAUGACAGGAUUCAACUAACUUUAAAAUGUCCAUUAAAGCCUAAUCACACUCUGUGACAUUCAAAUCUGCCUCCGUGCUUAUCCAGCGAAAGCAGUUUACGUGUAACGUAACGUAUGAAACAAACAUUCAGAUAUAUGUUAUUCUGGAAGUACUGGAAUAAAUCUUUAUAGUUCAGAUAUAAACACUGCUGUCUACGAAAACGAUCAAAAGAGAUUAAAUCGUCUUUUCGACAGUGACAAUGCUUCAAAUAUAGUUUCUCUUAAGUGCAACAUUAAUGCCAGCAGGUGGUGACAAGUAAAUUAAAGGGGUGGCGAAUGUCGGUCGUGGAGAGCCGCAGUCCUGCAGAGUUUAGCUCCAGCUCUAAUCAAACACACCUGAACAGAACAUUAAUGCCAGCAGGUGGUGACAAGUAAAUUAAAGGUGGGGUGCAUGAUCUCUGAAAGCCAAUGUUGACAUUUGAAAAUCACCUAAACAAAUGAAUAAGUAUGAAUGGUCUAUUACAGGGGUGGCGAAUGUCGGUCGUGGAGAGCCGCAGUCCUGCAGAGUUUAGCUCCAGCUCUAAUCAAACACACCUGAACAGGUGGUCUGAGUUUCCUAGGCUAACUACCCCAGGCAUGAUUGCACAAGACUUUUACACAUUACACCAGGAUGCAGCUCCAAAACUUUUCGAGAAAUGGCUCCCUUGAUACACCGAUAGGAUCUUGCAUUUUUCUAAACCAGAAGCAAAGCUUCCAUGUUCAGUUGAGGAGAUGACACAAGAUGCAAAGGGAUAUCUUGCAUUAAAGCUGCUCCCUGUUUUGCUUCCACCUCCACCCUUCAAAACUGCCAGAAAAAGUCCGGCCCAGCAUUGAUGAUGGCAAAAAAGCUUUCAUCGACAUUCAGCCUGUUGGAACAAAUAUGAUGGAGUACCUCCAGCAGGCUGAAGCAUCAGGACUUUACCCUUAUUUCCUGUCACUUGAAAAUGGACACAUGAGUCCCAGGCAUUCGUCAUCCUUGGAGGAGAAACUUUGGACAAGGCACUUUGAUUGGGGUAGUAGAAGCACUACAUUCUUGCAAGUAAAUGACAAGAGGUUUUUUGAAUAGACUGGGUUUCAGGUACAAGAGUUAUCAUUUUAGGGUUUUUUUACAGACUUAAAGGUGCUCUAAGCGAAUCUGUGUGACGUUACUUUUUGUUGAUGUUUGAACUGUUUUCAAACAAACGGAGCGUAGCUAACUCCUUCCCUCCCUUCCGUGCUUUCAUGAACGCGCCCAACCCUCACCCCCAAAUGCUUCUUGUCGUUAAUUGGCUGAAACACUUUGUUAUCCUUUCUGGUAGUAGGUUUGGCCACUUUGUUUUUAUUGCAGUUUGUGGAGCCUAGGCUGUCUAAAGAGAUCACGUUUUUUACAGUUUGAUCAGCGGACAGGCAGCCAGCAGAUAGUGAGGAGAUGUUUGCUGUAUGUAACAAAAAAUGUUUUAUGGUCUAAAACGCGUGAAUUAGAGCACCUUUAAGGAAGAGUAUUACUUGAUGAAUAUUAAUGACAUGUUUAUGAAAUGUUACACUGGCAAAAUGCUGUAUUUCAUAGUUUUUUUGUGUGUGUUCAUAAUGUAGACUAAAACAAUACUGCUUUGUAACAAACAGUUGUUCUUAAAGGUAUUUAAUGAAUUUCAUUAUUUUUUUUUAAAAUGUUAAAACGUAUAGAGGCGGUUUCACAGACAAGGAUAAGACUAGUCCUAGACUAAAGUAAAUGUAAGAGCUGUCCAAACUGAAAACUACUUGCACUGACAUAUCUUAAAAUACACCAGUGCCCUUUGUUUUCCCUCAAAAUGCACACAAGUAAUGUUUUUAUUAAGAUAUGUUUGUUCAAACUUGUUAUAUUUCCUAAUUAAUAACUAAGGAUUAGUCCUGGCUUAAGCCAAUCCCUGUCCGGGAAACCACCCCUUACACUUUUGCAAUUAGAGGCAAGUGAAGAAGUUGUUUAAAAUUGUUUAAAAUUGUUUAAAAAUGGAAUUUUAUUUAUUGUAUUUAUAGUUUUGUAUGAUCUCCUGAAUUUUUGAUUGAGCUAUUGUGUACAAAGUGUACGUUACACACAUUGUAUUUGUUACAUUACACAAAGUGUAAUAUGCUAAAAAAUAUUAAUGAAAAAUAAAGUUAAUACAAUGUUGA